rnacentral:sRNA from 1 species
AGGAAUGUCAUAUUCGGGAAUCCCACGGCUGCAGAUUUGUAUUAAUUUAAUUACUUUGUCAGAAAUUGUUGACAGGUGUCGCUACCCCUACAUGCUUCUACUGCUCUCUAUGAUCAACAAAAACCUUUUGAUUAUCUGAAUUCAAAAGAAUGUUCUUAGUAAAAUAAUGAAAAUGCUUCACAAUAAUAACACAAACGCUUAUAGAGGAUUAGCUACACAAACUCUUUAUCUCCCAAAGCGAAAGAAUGUAAUAGCCUAAAUGCAAGGCUGCCCACGAUAACAUCCCCUCCCUGUCGGAUGGAUACGGUAUCACAAGAUCGAAGAUUUCCAUUCACAACAUGAACCAGAACAAAGAAUAAAAGGAUUAUGAUCCCACUCAGAUCUAGUUCUGCAUACCGCAGCUGCACACCUCUCCACGCUUGACCUGAUUUUUACAGCCUAAUCUGCAGCACUCGGUAUAAACGCUAAAGAAGUCGAAUUGUUCGGGUGCGAGACAGAAAGCCAUGUUGAUGUCUGAAUUAAUGAAUCGUUCUUAGAGCGAUCGAUGGUAUAAUAUUUCUGUUAUAUCUUAGCAGGAGUUGCUUGGGAUUCUUCGUAUGAUGGAUAAUGAUAUACUAUGUAGAAACGUUGGCAUACCUCACGAUAUCGGCUAGAAGAGAGAUGAUACUUUUAAUGCGAGUUUCUGAAUCGAGCAGGCCGUAUUUGUAUACCAGCAGCUUCCACGUCCGUCGCAGGGAAAAGAUGGAGAAGCAAAACACAAGUGGUUGAACGAGCGUUAUCCAUAUCCUUUCUAAGUCAUAAGGAUUAUAUAACAAAUCAGAACAAGGGCCAAAGCGCUCAUUGAACUGCUUAUCGAACGCUAGUCUUUAAGAAGAUAGAGAAGUGACGAAACACAGAAAAAUGAUGUGCGACAGUCUGGAUCCUGAACAACCUGGAGCCAAGAGGAGCGUUGGUGUUUUGGGUGUUGGAACCAAUCAUGAAGCCAACGAGGCUUUAGGGGACAAGGCGCACUCGGUGGCAGGAGGCGAGGCGGCGUAGAUGUCCGGAAUGCGAACGGCUGUCGAGUCAAAAGUCUGUUCAUCGUUGUCCCUUGCGUCAAUCCGAAUUUUGUGAAAAAGG